UACGUAGGGUGCGAGCGUUGUCCGGAAUUAUUGGGCGUAAAGGGCUCGUAGGCGGUUUGUCGCGUCGGGAGUGAAAACCCAGGGCUUAACCCUGGGCUGGCUUCCGAUACGGGCAGACUAGAGGUAUGCAGGGGAGAACGGAAUUCCUGGUGUAGCGGUGAAAUGCGCAGAUAUCAGGAGGAACACCGGUGGCGAAGGCGGGUCUCUGGGCCGAUACUGACGCUGAGGCACGAAAGCGUGGGGAGCAAACAGG
rnacentral:rRNA from 1 species